rnacentral:rRNA from 1 species
CCUACGGGCGGCAGCAGUGAGGAAUAUUGGUCAAUGGACGCAAGUCUGAACCAGCCAUGCCGCGUGCAGGAAGACGGCUCUAUGAGUUGUAAACUGCUUUUGUACGAGGGUAAACGCAGAUACGCGGAUCUGGCUGAAAGGAUCGUACGAAUAAGGAUCGGCUAACUCCGUGCCAGCAGCCGCGGUAAUACGGAGGAUUCAAGCGUUCUCCGGAUUUAUUGGGUUUAAAGGGUGCGUAGGCGGUCGGAUAAGUUAGAGGUGACAUCCCGCGGCUCAACUUCGGAAUUGCCUCUGAUACUGUUCGGCUAGAGCGUAGUUGCGGUAGGCGGACUGUAUGUUGUAGCGGUGAAAUGCUUAGAGAUCAUACAGAACACCGAUUGCGAAGGCAGCUUACCAAGCUACUUCUGACGUUGAGGCACGAACGCGUGGGGAGCAAACAGGAUUAGAUACCCCUGUAGUC